CUGUCAGCUGUGUCAUCCUACUGCAUGAUGGAAACUGGCAUAAGAGGGAUGGUGACCUAAACUAAUAUCUAAAGACAGAUCAGAACCCAUGGCCUCCUCAGCCCAAAACCACUAAAUUUCCAACAAACCGAGAAAAUGGCCUUUAGUCAGAUAUAUUAAGUGCUCCAGGAAGGACCUCUCAAAAAGGAAUCACUGACCACCACCACCCCAGUCCUCAUCAAAGAUCAAGAGAUAAUAUGUUCAUUAAAGGCAUCACUGCAACCCAGGUCAAAUGUAUGCUAUAUAUCACCAGGAAUACUGAGGUAACCUUUGAAAUGUGUUCUUUGCCACUCUGCCUCCCAAAUCCUUGCCCAGACUUGUAGCUGUUCAUAUAUGUUUUUAAAAUGUAUACCCCAUUGCUUAAAAAAAC